rnacentral:rRNA from 1 species
GAUGAACGCUAGCGGCAGGCUUAACACAUGCAAGUCGAGGGGUAGAGGUUGCUUGCAACCUUGAGACCGGCGCACGGGUGCGUAACGCGUAUGCAACCUACCUUUUACAGAGGGGUAGCCCAGAGAAAUUUGGAUUAAUACCUCAUAGUAUAUAACCUUCGCAUGUUGGUUAUAUUAAAGUUUCAACGGUAAAAGAUGGGCAUGCGUCCUAUUAGCUAGAUGGUAAGGUAACGGCUUACCAUGGCAACGAUAGGUAGGGGUCCUGAGAGGGAGAUCCCCCACACUGGUACUGAGACACGGACCAGACUCCUACGGGAGGCAGCAGUGAGGAAUAUUGGACAAUGGGCGCAAGCCUGAUCCAGCCAUGCCGCGUGCAGGAAGAAGCAUCUAUGGUGUGUAAACUGCUUUUGUACAGGAAGAAACACCCCGACGUGUCGGGACUUGACGGUACUGUAAGAAUAAGGAUCGGCUAACUCCGUGCCAGCCGCCGCGGUAAAAC